AAGAGGUGCAAUUUCACAAUUUGUGUAUAUUUUCUAAGUUCACUAUUUUGUCAUGUGUUGAGAAAAACACAGAUUUUAAAAUUACAUGGUCUAAUAUUUACAUUUAGCAUAACUGCAACAUUAUUUUUUCGUUUUUUUUUUAAAGACUCGAAAGGACUUGAAAUUCAAAGUUUCAGACUUGUGACUUGACUCGGACUUUUACACCAGUGACUUGAGACUCGACUCUGACUUGCCUGACAUUACUUGAGACUUGACUUGAGACUUGAGGAUAAAGACUUGAGACUUACUUGAGACUUGCAAAACAAUGACUUGGUCCCACCUCUGCUUAGAGUCCUCUGCCUUAUGGUUUAUGUCUCUGUGUUUCUUAGUUGCUGUCUCCACUGUGUCAAGUUCGCGUCUCUGUGUGAUCCUUCCUGUUUUACUUUGAAGGUCCGUGUCUUAUGUGAAUGUGUCCUGCUUUGCUUCUUUGUCUCGUCAGUCCUGAUUUCUCCCAGCUGUGCCCUCCUUCUGUGUCUCAUUCCCCUCGUUACUCCCCAGUGUAUUUAAACCCUGUGUUUCUCUGAGUCAGUGUCGCGUUGUCCCUCAUGCUGUGUGGAUCUCCCUGUGUCUCCUUGUGAGUUUUAGUUUGUUGUUCCCAGUUUAGUUUGUGUUUUGUGUAGUUUGUUUUUUUUUUCCCCCUGCCAGCAAAUAAAGCUGUGUUUUGAGUUCACCUCCCAGAGUUUGUGAGUCCUGCAUUUUGGGUCCAACUCCUGCCUGCCGCACAGCGAUUCAUGACAGUUUUAGCAGUUUGUGCCUGAGUUUGUCCUGCAAAUUGCAUGGCAUUACAAACUUAAAAUUCUUUGCUUAGUGCAUCAGUAUUACAUUCUGCUUUUCAAAGAGGAGUCCUUUUGUCUUUGCAUCUGAAAAAAUUCUCUUUGAACAAGAUCAUCCCAGGUGAUGUAAAACUUAAGCCUUUGCUUGUAUCAACUGGAGCAACUCAACUUCACUAUUAAAAGAGCAAUAAGAAAACAGUUACAUUGAUGUAAAUGACUUUACAAUUAAACAGGCAAUGUGAAAUAACUAACACUACCUUGAUAACGCAGUCGGUUUAGGGCAGCUGAGGCAUAAACCUACAUUUGAAUGGAAAUUUGCUUUAUUAGACCAAAAGGUUUGCCAGUGGAAUACGAAUAUGCAUCUUUCAAGUCCCAAGUGAUCAGCUU
ensembl:lncRNA